UACAGAGGGUGCGAGCGUUGUUCGGAAUUAUUGGGCGUAAAGCGCGUGUAGGCGGCGAUUUAAGUCGGGUGUGAAAGCCCUCAGCUCAACUGAGGAAGCGCGCCCGAGACUGAAUGGCUUGAGUGCCGAAGAGGGUGGCGGAAUUCCCCAAGUAGAGGUGAAAUUCGUAGAGAUGGGGAGGAACACCGGAGGCGAAGGCGGCCACCUGGGAGGUAACUGACGCUGAGACGCGAAAGCGUGGGGAGCAAACAGG
rnacentral:rRNA from 1 species